rnacentral:rRNA from 1 species
CUGCAAACGUGCUACAAUGGCGUGUACAAAGCGAUGCAAGGCCGCAAGGCGGAGCAAAUCGCAAAAAGCACGCCCCAGUUCGGAUUGUCGGCUGCAAUUCGCCGGCAUGAAGUCGGAAUCGCUAGUAAUCGGAGAUCAGCUACGCUCCGGUGAAUACGUUCCUGAGCCUUGUACACACCGCCCGUCACGUCAUGGAAGUUGGUAGCGCCCGAAGUCGCCACAUUUCAGUGGUGCCCACGGCGAGGCCGAUGACUGGGACGAAGUCGUAACAAGGUAGCCGUAGGAGAACCUGCGGCUGGAUCACCUCCUUU